rnacentral:rRNA from 1 species
UACGUAGGGGGCAAGCGUUAUCCGGAUUUACUGGGUGUAAAGGGAGCGUAGGUGGCAUGGUAAGCCAGAAGUGAAAACCCGGGGCUCAACCCCGCGGAUUGCUUUUGGAACUAUCAGGCUGGAGUGCUGGAGGGGUAAGCGGAAUUCCUAGUGUAGCGAUGAAAUGCGUAGAUAUUAGGAGGAACACCGGUGGCGAAGGCGGCUUACUGGACAGAAACUGACACUGAGGCUCGAAAGCGUGGGGAGCAAACAGG